rnacentral:rRNA from 1 species
GAUGAACGCUGGCGGCGUGCCUAAUACAUGCAAGUCGAGCGAACAGACGAGGAGCUUGCUCCUCUGACGUUAGCGGCGGACGGGUGAGUAACACGUGGAUAACCUACCUAUAAGUCUGGGAUAACUUCGGGAAACCGGCGCUAAUACCGGAUAAUAUCUUGCACCGCAUGGUUCAAUUGUGAAAGACGGUUUUGCUGUCACUUCUAGAUGGAUCCGCGCCGCAUUAGCUAGUUGGUAAGGUCACGGCUUACCAAGGCAACGAUGCGUAGCCGACCUGAGAGGGUGAUAGGCCGCACGGGAACUGAGACACGGUCCAGACUACUAAGGGAGGGAGCAGUAGGGAAUCUUACGCAAUGGGCGAAAGCAUGACGGAGCAACGCCGCGUGAGUGAUGAAGGUCUUCGGAUCGUAAAACUCUGUUAUUAGGGAAGAACAAAUGUGUAAGUAAAUAUGCACGUCGUGACGGUAACUAAUCAGAAAGCCACGGCUAACUACGUG